rnacentral:rRNA from 1 species
AUUGAACGCUGGCGGCAGGCCUAACACAUGCAAGUCGAGCGGAUGACGGGAGCUUGCUCCUUGAUUCAGCGGCGGACGGGUGAGUAAUGCCUAGGAAUCUGCCUGGUAGUGGGGGACAACGUUUCAAAAGGAACGCUAAUACCGCAUACGUCCUACGGGAGAAAGCAGGGGACCUUCGGGCCUUGCGCUAUCAGAUGAGCCUAGGUCGGAUUAGCUAGUUGGUGAGGUAAUGGCUCACCAAGGCGACGAUCCGUAACUGGUCUGAGAGGAUGAUCAGUCACACUGGAACUGAGACACGGUCCAGACUCCUACGGGAGGCAGCAGUGGGGAAUAUUGGACAAUGGGCGAAAGCCUGAUCCAGCCAUGCCGCGUGUGUGAAGAAGGUCUUCGGAUUGUAAAGCACUUUAAGUUGGGAGGAAGAGCAGUAAGUUAAUACCUUGCUGUUUUGACGUUACCGACAGAAUAAGCACCGGCUAACUCUGUGCCAGCAGCCGCCGUAAGAC